rnacentral:rRNA from 1 species
CCUACGGGUGGCAGCAGUGGGGAAUAUUGGACAAUGGGGGCAACCCUGAUCCAGCCAUGCCGCGUGUGUGAAGAAGGCCCUCGGGUUGUAAAGCACUUUCAGUGAGGAAGAACGCCUGGUGGUUAAUACCCAUCAGGAAAGACAUCACUCACAGAAGAAGCACCGGCUAACUCCGUGCCAGCAGCCGCGGUAAUACGGAGGGUGCGAGCGUUAAUCGGAAUUACUGGGCGUAAAGCGCGCGUAGGUGGCUUGAUAAGCCGGUUGUGAAAGCCCCGGGCUCAACCUGGGAACGGCAUCCGGAACUGUCAAGCUAGAGUGCAGGAGAGGAAGGUAGAAUUCCCGGUGUAGCGGUGAAAUGCGUAGAGAUCGGGAGGAAUACCAGUGGCGAAGGCGGCCUUCUGGACUGACACUGACACUGAGGUGCGAAAGCGUGGGUAGCAAACAGGAUUAGAUACCUGAGUAGUC